AGAACCCCGGCGAGGGGAGUGAAAAAGAACCUGAAACCGUGUACGUACAAGCAGUGGGAGCCCCACCACUAAGCCAGUGGUGAACUCCACAUACGCAUCCUUUGCUGAGGAUACGGUUAACGGAGCGAAAGCGACGUUCAACCUCAGAAGAAGCAGAGGGGGCUUAGUGGUGGGGUGACUGCGUACCUUUUGUAUAAUGGGUCAGCGACUUAUAUUCUGUAGCAAGGUUAACCGUAUAGGGGAGCCGUAGGGAAACCGAGUCUUAACCGGGCGUUAAGUUGCAGGGUAUAGACCCGAAACCCGGUGAUCUAGCCAUGGGCAGGUUGAAGGUUGGGUAACACUAACUGGAGGACCGAACCGAC
rnacentral:rRNA from 1 species